rnacentral:lncRNA from 1 species
GGGGAAGGCUCAGAAGCUCCAAGGUUUCAUGUAGGGCUCCCCAGGCCAAGCUUUGAGGGAAGAUGGGGAGCUUAGAUAUAGUUUUGUCCAGCUUUCACGAUACAAAUGACCAACUUGAGUCUGGAGAGACAGAGAGGUGGAGCUUGGCCUGGAUCCAGGAGAUGAGUUCGGCCUAGCGCUCUGCAGUGGGCCCACCACCCCUGAUACCUAGACGUGUGGUCACCUUGGCGGUGGGGAGGAGGGGCUUGGUCCUGGCAACCCCUCUCAUCCAAUAGCAAGAGAGGGGCUGAUUCAAUGGUUUGAGGGGGCAGGAGCAGUGACACAGCCUGGAGACCCAGCUCUGUCACUCAACUCUACAUAGCCUUCACCCAGAGCCUGACAGUGUAUAUGAACAAGAGGCUGUGCCUGGUGAGUGCUUCUGCCACUUUCUCCAGGAUGACAGCUGUGGACUCCUGCCACAUCCAACACCCCCUUGCUGCUCCCCACCGCCCUCCUUGGCACCCAGGUGGCUGAUCUCCUAUGGUCUUGCUGGCUUCUCUACCUUGUAUGCUGAGGGCGGGCCCAGCCUGCCCCAGCUCAGGGUCUGCACAUAGUAGGUGCUUGCAUGUUGCCUGCUAAACUGACAGCCCUGUAACCAUGUCAGCACAAAGCAACCAGCAUUUUGGGUGCAUCUGCAGUUAAAAUAAACCACUGAGGUCAUG